UCCGGUUUGACACCGGCAGUCUCCCAUGAGUCCCCGGCAUUACCCGCUGGCAACAUGGAACAGGGGUUGCGCUCGUUGCGCCACUUAACCCAACAUCUCACGGCACGAGCUGACGACAGCCAUGCACCACCUGUGCAGGACCCCGAAGGACACCACAUCUCUGUGGCUUUUCCCUACAUGUCAAACCCAGGUAAGGUUCUUCGCGUUGCCUCGAAUUAAGCAACAUGCUCCGCCGCUUGUGCGGGCCCCCGUCAAUUCCUUUGAGUUUUAGCCUUGCGGCCGUACUCCCCAGGCGGGGCACUUAAUGCGUUAGCUGCGGCACGGACCACGUGGAAUGUGGCCCACACCUAGUGCCCAACGUUUACGGCGUGGACUAC
rnacentral:misc_RNA from 1 species